GAAGCCAAACCCACCGAUGACAACGAAACUCCUCGUGCGCUCCAACGAGGGUGUCCUCUAGUCUCCUAGUACCUUAGAGGUACAAGAACAAGUGUCAUCUAGUCGAAACAAACGACGCUAAGCUCAAUCAUUAAGCAUAUAGGGCUAGGGUAGACGAAAACUCACCGAUUGCGAAGGAAGCUCUCACAAUCUCCAAAUGGGAGCUAGAGUCCUUCCAAUCUAACCUAAACAAAGGUUCUAAACCCAUCAAUUUGAUACAAAAGCCCUCAAAACGAAAAUCCCCAAAUUUAACCCUAAAAUCCAAAAUCUAGGGUUUGAUCUCAUGAAAUCCAAUAAAACUCGAAUCUAGAGGGAGAGAACAUGUUGCUUACCUCUUAGAAGCUUCAAAACAAGCUCUAAAUCCUUUAAAUCCCAAGAUCUAUCCUCCACUUAGCUCCAAAUCCAAGCUUGA
rnacentral:lncRNA from 1 species